AUGACGGCUCAAGGUGAGAUUAGUAGGGCAGAAACUCUGAACAUCGAUGAAUUGGAGAAUUUGAUGGGAAGGAAGCUAACUUACUAUCGAUCAAUCUACAAAGAUCAUGAUCAGCGAAGAAAAUUGUACAUAAUUUUUCAAGUUCCAAAAUAUAUUAAACAAGUUGACAAGUUAUCUUACGAACCAAAAGUGUUGUCCAUUGGGCCUUAUUACCAUGGAAAUUCUUCCCUGCAGUUUAUGGAGAAAGUAAAAUGGAACUGCUUAGAUUAUGUUCUUAAACUGAACUGUAGAAAAAAGUUGAAGGUCUAUCUAACAGCGAUGGAGAAUCUGGAGAAGCAGGCAAGGAGCUGCUAUUCUGAGGAAGUUCCUCUAGGAAGUGACAUGUUCCUGCGAAUGAUGCUGCUUGAUGGAUGCUUUUUACUUGUUUAUCUUGGUGGAACGGAUGUCUUAGAUUGGUGCGUUAAUGAACAUAAUUUAACUGGUGGUAAUUAUCAGGGCAGAGAACCACUUCAAUACACAAUAGCACAACAGGAGGAUAUUACGGAGCAUGCAUCACAUAAGGGAAUAAGAAGCAUUGAAAGUAUGAUAUUGCUUGCUGGGAUAUCAUCCAAUUUAUGUUCAACAGAAGGCGUGGAACUUGACCGUAUUAGUACAGGCGAACAAUGCAAUGAUCAGAAGGAUCCUGACCAACCCAAAUGUGACCCGAUUUCUGAUUGGCAUCACUGCCAUGCAUUCCGUGACCUACUUCUUCUUGAGAACCAACUACCAUUUUCCAUUGUGAAGAGAAUAUAUGGGUUACUUGUGGGAGAAGAUGCUCCAGAUCUGCUUACCGAGAAGAUUGGUGAAUAUUUAGAACUUAAUAUUCAGAAGUACACAACAGUUGCUCGUAAAUUUGAUGGGCAAAAAGACUUCCACCACUUGCUCCAGUUGUAUCAUAUGUACUUCCGACCUCAACAAAGGAUUCAACCAGAGCAACAUUUUCAAAUUAGAAACAGAUGGUUGCAUCCUCUCACUACUUUGUGGCGCACAUAUCUCAACCGGAGUUAUUUCGAAGACUUGUCUACCAAUCAGCAGACAACUCAUGUAAGUUCUUGUCAGACACUGAAUCGGUGGCGACGAGCAGAACAAUAUCAUGAAGCUGGAAUUGAGUUUAAGAGCAAAGAGCACAACAAACACAACCCACCAUCUCUUUUGGACAUAACUUUUGACAAGGGUCAGGUGCAAAUUCCAUGCUUGCUUAUUGAUGAAAAUACCAUUUGCCUCUUCAGGAACUUGGUUGCACUUGAGCAAACAUGCUCGCAGUUUGGAAAUGAUGUCACUGCCUAUAUCGCUUUUAUUUCCCAGCUUGUUAGUACACCAUGUGAUGUUGCACUGCUUGCUCGCAAAGGAAUAAUCGUGCACCACUUGCGCACCGAUGAAGAAGUGUCAACUCUUUUCAGUAGGCUGGGAAAGAAUGUGGACUUUGAUCAGAAUGGUGCACACUAUCUUAAAUCGGUUUGCUGUAUGAUGGAAGAUUAUUAUCAGAAUCGCGUAAAUAGAUGGAUGGCCUGGUUGUGGCAUAACCAUCUCAGGAAUCCGUGGUUGGUCUUGGCAGUUGUAGCAGCAGCUCUUGUUCUUCUCUGCACGGUUAUCCAAUCAUUGUUAGCCUUGCUUGCGUAUUUGGAUCAAACAACAUAUAACAGUUAG
rnacentral:rRNA from 1 species